rnacentral:rRNA from 1 species
UACGGGGGGAGCAAGCGUUGUUCGGAUUUACUGGGCGUAAAGGGCGCGUAGGCGGCCAGCACAAGUCAGUUGUGAAAUCUCCGAGCUUAACUCGGAAAGGUCAACUGAUACUGUGCGGCUAGAGUGCGGAAGGGGCAACUGGAAUUCUUGGUGUAGCGGUGAAACGCGUAGAUAUCAAGAGGAACACCUGCGGCGAAGGCGGGUUGCUGGGCCGACACUGACGCUGAUGCGCGAAAGCUAGGGGAGCGAACGGG